rnacentral:rRNA from 1 species
UACGUAGGGUGCGAGCGUUAAUCGGAAUUACUGGGCGUAAAGUGUGCGCAGGUGGCCGCGCAAGUCGAGUGUGAAAUCCCCGAGCUUAACUUGGGAAUUGCGCUCGAAACUACGUGGCUCGAGUGUGGCAGAGGAAGGUGGAAUUCCACGUGUAGCGGUGAAAUGCGUAGAGAUGUGGAGGAACACCGAUGGCGAAGGCGGCAUCCUGGACCAAUAUUGACGCUGAGGAGCGAAAGCCAGGGGAGCAAACGGG